rnacentral:sRNA from 1 species
CCAUAUUCUUCGGGGAGAGGGAUGAGAACCUUCGACUAAGGUUCGAGUCGGACAACGCGCGUCAGCGCGGCCCGCAGGGUGAAAUCAUCCUCUUGAACCCGCU